CCUACGGGGAGCUGCAGUGGGGGAUAUUGCACAAUGGGGGGAACCCUGAUGCAGCGACGCCGCGUGGGUGAAGGAGCGUUUCGGCGCGUAAAGCCCUAUCGGCAGGGAAGAAGAUGACGGUACCUGACCAAGAAGCCCCGGCUAACUACGUGCCAGCAGCCGCGGUAAUACGUAGGGGGCAAGCGUUAUCCGGAUUUACUGGGUGUAAGGGGGGCGCAGACGGCGAUGCAAGCCAGGAGUGAAAGCCCGGGGCCCAACCCCGGGACUGCUCGUGGAACUGCGUGGCGGGAGUGCAGGAGGGGCAGGCGGAAUGCCUGGUGUAGCGGUGAAAUGCGUAGAUAUCAGGAGGAACACCGGUGGCGAAGGCGGCCUGCUGGACUGCAACUGACGUUGAGGCCCGAAAGCGUGGGGAGCAAACAGGAUUAGAUACCCGAGUAGUC
rnacentral:rRNA from 1 species